rnacentral:lncRNA from 1 species
GCUCGCUUGCAAGAGGCCGUCACUAUAGUAACCGAAGCAGGUGUGCUUAUUAACCGGAAGAGGAGUAGAGGUUGAUCUGGCAGAGAAAAGAACAAGGUCAAAGCACUACAAAGCCUGCCACAAUAAACGGCUGAAAUCUCCCAGCGGCAGAGUGAGUAAACAUGGGCGGGGGAAAUGCGCGAGCCGGAGAGGGGCUCUGUUAAGAUGGCAAGGUUCCCGGUCUGAGUGGAGUUGAGGAACGCCGCUCUUCUGUCUGACGGCCUGGUGCCUUAAAGUGUCCUUGAGCAAAAAC